CUGCGAUAGUUAGAAAAGUCACUCUGUAGGACAGGGACCUGGCGGGGAAUGGAGCUUUUGCCCGUGAGCCUGAUGUGCGGGGAAGGUGGCUGCCUUCACCCCAGCAGAAUUUGCAACGACUCCCCAUGAUUAUUUCGACCUCAACCUUUACUUACUACAAUCUGCCUACACUGUAGAGUUACCAGCGAUGGAAGAGACAGCCAGGUCCUACUCCGCUCUGUGCAUCGCCUACACGCUAUUCAUUAUCAUUGUUCUAAUAUCUUUGUUACACAUUAGCCACGAUGAUAAACAUGCCGGCGACAACCUAUCAUGACUGUGUCACAUUUGAGAGGGAUAUUUGGAAAGAAAACAUCAUUUUUCUUUGUAAGCUGGGAAGGCUUGAGCCAGGAUGCAGUAAAGACAGAGCCCCGCAGUACUUUCCCAGUGGGGCUGCUUUCCACGUCAGAGCCAGACAUUUAAUCAAAAAGGAACAGGAAAAAAAAUGUAGCCUUGGAGUUGUUCUCAUCUUGGAAAAUUCCAGACAGAGGACCAGGAAACAGGUGAUUGGAACAUGUGGCUAGUGAAGAGCUUCACCUUACUACAUGGAUUAACUGUGACCUGAGAAAUGCACCUUAGGUUUGACACACUGGCACAGGAUUUGGGAAGUUGCGUGGAUACUUGUUAAAGGCUGAUUCAAAGGCCAUUCAAGUCAAUGGGAGUUUUUCCACUGAAGACAAUGUAUUUGGAUUAAGUCAAAAGGGCAGACAAGUUCAAUCAAGUCCAUAGUUAUGUUGGCAAGAAACACUCCAAAAUACAUCAUUUGAGGAGUCCACUGAUUCAGAAGAGUCAAUGCUCAGAUGAGUUUUCUGGUACUGAGACUACCUUAAAGUCUUGUAUUCUGGGGAAACACAGAACAUACAAGAUUCUUCACUUCUUCAGCCUCGUGGCUGCUCUCAUCGAGGCGCACACCACCUGCCUGGGGGACCUCCUGGACCCUGCUCAGUCGGGCUGGUUGUCAGCCAAAGCCCUGGCUGUCCGGAUGGCACUGCGCUCUGUCCGCACUGUGGGCCGGCUUCUGCAGGCUGUUAGGGCCACCCUCCCGAUGGAAGCAGCAACCGCCCUAGAAGGCUACCUCCAGGCUCACCAGGCCCUUCCCACCAUGGAUGCCGUGGGUGACUCCUUCGCACCACUGCCAGUCAUCCCAGUGGUGGCCAGUGAACCGACUGACUGGCCCAACACACUGCUUAGGCUCCCUGUGCUCCCCAGAAGCAAUACGGGCUGCCCCUUUGGCACAAAGAGUCUCCUCAUGGCAGUUUAAUAUAUAGCAUUAUAAUUUGUAUUUAAAAGUAAGUGAUCCUUUAAAAAAAAAAAGAUUGCAGUCAAUAAAGCUGUAAGUCAAUGGAAUUUGAUUGUUGUAAACGAGUCUCAGGGUGAAACUUAGUAUAUACUUUUGUUGGGUUAGCAGGGACUCAAUGGGUGCAUCUUAGCCAGGGGAAAUUGUGAAGUUGUUGGCUUCAGCGGUACUCUGAAAGCGUGUACCAGCUGAAAAACUGCCCUGUAUCCUGUGUAUAUUAACUUGUGCAUAUUACCCACAUUGGGUGUUUGAACACGUGAUAUUAGUUAGCACAGAGCCACAUUUCAGGUGAGGAAUUAACAGAAGAGGUUCAUUUGUCCUCCCCUCUGCUUCUCUAUAGAGCUUCAUGAGUGAAGAUGAGCAGUAUAUCACUGGUCUAUCCCUGGCUUGUAUCAUUGUUGCCUGCAUCUUGGGUGUAGUCACAGUCCAGAUUAAUACUUUCCACCCCUCAUAUUUUCACUUCUCCUUCAUGUGUGAGCUAGCUGGAAGGGCUUCUUUACCUUCUUCCAUCAUUGCCGAAAAGGAAGAUGCUUGGUUCAGUAGUUUACAGAAAUUGGGUAAUAUCCUUUUAAAUAAUUAGCGAGUUAUUUUCUGCUGCUCAUUGUGUUCGGUGUCUCAGAAACCAGCCAGCCAGAGCAGCAAUGUGCAGGGCUGGCAUGUGGUGUCUAAUUAGCAAACACGGUUAUUUGGAAUCCACUGUGCUUUGUUUGGCUCCUUCAUAUUUCGUUGUGUAAAGAACAAAAGACACGGCACCUGGCUUUCUGAUUCCGGCUGGAGGUUUUUGGUGUUGUUGGGGUUUGUUUUUUUUUUCCAGGGAAGGAAAAAAAUCUUCCAGCAGGCGGGAGAUAUAAAUCAAACAGACAAUAGGACCUGAUGUGCGGACAGACCCUGACAUGCCUGGCUGAUACUCUUCAAACACACGAGGGUUGGUUAUUGUCGCAGGAGCUGCUCGAGCACAUAGCAGAGGCAUCUCCCUGGUGAUGGCUGCGUGUACCAGCUGGACCGGAGAGCGCUGCAAUGUAAGGACAUCACACGAUGAGAGUACAUGGACCGGGAAGAUGUCAGAAGGGAAGCUGCCCAGGAGCUGCCCGUCUGUGAAAGCUCGGAUGGUUUUGUCUGCUCAGAAUUGGCCUGAUUAAAAAUUUCUAUGCUCUGUUUUGCCCUGAUCUGCUAGGGGGGUCAGUACCUUCCUGAUACGAUUGGUGGGGACUGGAGGUAUUUGCAGGGCUGGGACCUGGAGGCUGAGCCACUGUCUAAGCUCAGGCUUUCAGAUGGAUGCUGAGAGGAAGGCAGCAGUGGCUGUAGUGUGACUUCACGGCUGCUCUGCACUCUGCGGGCUUGUCCUCGCUACACUGGGUGACUUCACUAAGGUCUUCUCAUUUAUACUGCAGCAAUGCCUGGGCCAGUCCUACCUCCAUGGUCUCCAUGUAGGGCAGGGAGCCUCUGCAGAGCUGCACAAAGAGUGCACCCCUAUCACAGAGCUCCCUCCCCAAGCCUUUCCUUGGUGGAGCAGGACCACGCCGUUGUGGAAGCCAGCUGGCAUUCUGUGCCCUCGGAGGAUGGGGCUGGAUUUUCCCUAUGGUAAGCAGGCACCGAGAGGGACCCCAUUUGGGGCGACUUUUUCAAUCAGACCAAGCUGUUUGCUAUGCCUCCCUCUAUGGCUUAGUAUAGUUUCAAUGCCUUCUGAUGUCCCUUUAAGACAAUACAGAGGAUCACAGCUGCUGGGUACAGUCUACAGUUGGAUAGACAUCUCCCCUCGCCCCAGUAACCAAGGGCCAUUGCAUAUGAAUUAUGGAACAGUCUUGUAAUAUGGAAUCAUUUAGCAUCGGGAGCUUGUUGCUGCUGCUUCCAUUUCCCUAUCCCUGCACCAGACGUGGAGUUUGUCUUACUGUAUGAUCGCACCAUAAAAUAUUGAAGUGGGGAUGCAGUCCUAACGGUUCCACCAGGUACUGUAAGCAGCAAACCAGGAUGAUUAAUGAGCAGAGGCUCCAGCUCUGUCAAAAGCCAUAUCUGUUGGGCUGAGUGGUGUCUUUCUUUUUGGAAUAUUCUGCUCAGCAGCAUGUUGCUGUGCAGACUAUUCAGCAAAUGAGGAGCAGAUGGAGUAGUGACACAUUUUAUCUCCCGGCAGCCAGGGACCUGGGCUCUGCUAGGAGAUUGCAAAAAAGCGAGUUUCAUGCAAAGUGGCUGCUGGAAUAAAAGCUGCAGAUUACUCUUUCUCUGCAGCGUUGCAGAUGGACAAAUGAAGGGAAGAAGUGGUGUUGGCCUGGAGUUGCCAUUGCAAAAAAAUCAGCUGUUCAGGAAGUUAAAGUAAAAGCUGUCGCAAGCCCAAGCAUCUUUCUAGGGGAUGUUUCCAGCUGUGGCCCUCUACCUGUCUGGACCUUGUUUCUCUGUUCCAGAUACUGCCCUGGCAGUCAGUGCUUCAUACAUGAUAGAUAGCUGUAGCAACUGGGUAGCUCAGUUAUUUAAAUGCUAGAUUCUGGCUUUUGCUGUCUGUGGUGCGUGGUCCUUUCCAUGUAAAUUCCUUUUUUCAUCACUUCAGCAAAGGAGAGACUCUAAAUGAAGCCGAGAUGUGACUCAGCCCUGUGCCUAGGAGCUGCUUGCCCCCAGCUCUGCAUCGCUACUCUAAGUUCUGUUUAAUAACUGAGUGUUUGGGUUGGAAAAUGCGAACCAGGAAGUACAACUUUCCUGAAGUAUUUGGAUAGGCAUCCUGAAGCCCUUGGGUCUGUUUGCAUGAGCAUCUAGCACAAAAAGACCCUGGUCUUCUUCCAUGUCCUUAGGUUUGACCACAAUAGAGAGGAUUUUCAUCAAAAUAACUCAUAAAGUGAGAUUGUUUGUUAGUUUUUUCCACUGAUGCACUUUAGGAGCGGGCUCGUUGGCUUGGUUGCCUCCGUUUGAUAGUGCUGUGCUCUCGUUUCCUUCUGAGAUGUUUACACCAUUACUUUAUUAUCUGGUGGCUUUUUUUUUUGGCUGAGCAUGUAAUGCUAUAUCUGCAGGACAGUGAGUCUGUAUAGGUGACCCCACAUGGUAGGACUUGCUGUGCACGUCUGUAAAAGUCCAUUGGCUUCAGUAGUGAUGUUAUGUAAUGGGUGUUCAUGUUGGUCAAGGCAUCUGAGGAGUUUCUCUCAACUUACACAGCUGCCUUUGUUUCCUGGUGUCUUUCUCAGUGAAGGAGCCCUUGUUGCUUCAGUGAAUGACCAAAAGAACUAACUAAAGAAUCAUCCCUUAUCCAAAAGGCACAAAGGUUUGUGGUAUGUAGCAAUAAGUUGGUGGAGUCACUUGGAGGUGCCCUACUUUAGUGGGAGCUCAGUGAGGUUUUUAGUCCUAAGAAAUGUUCAUACCAUGCUGUGCAUAGUCAUGGGCAAGUGGGAUUGCUGACUCUAGCAAGACCUCUAGUGGCUCCUAACUGAUGUAAAAAACUCUAGGACUGUUAGUCAAGGCUCUGCCCCAUCACCAUGAUGGAGUGGUGUCCCAGCUACCAUUAGAAGAGGAUCACAAGGUCCCUUCCAGCCCCAAACGUCUGUGAAUCUGCAGACGCUGUGCUGAGCAUGUGUGGAUUGCAGAAGCAGGAACUGCAAGAAGAGCAAGGCUGUCACACAGCUGAAGGUGUCCCCCUUUGUCCACUUUGACCCUGAACCUGGAGCUGUCUCCAAAUGUUGCUGCUGCCACCUCUUUCAGGAAUGGGCAAACCCAGCUGCAGAUCCCGAUCCUUGCUUUCUUUGGGGUCAUUUCUGAAUCCAUGUCUGAAUUCUGCAACUGUGACCCCUUUCUAAUUAAGACCUCUAGCUAGUAAGAGAUAAAAUGGAGAUGAUUUUUGUAUGUAGAACAAGCAAUUCUGCACCUGGGGUCCUCACUCAGGCACCCAGGAAUGAAUUUAGCAAUUGUGAGCUGUAAUAGCCCCAGCUAUAGCCAGGCAUACUUUAAGCAAUGGCUUUGCAAAUCAUCUCCGUGGCACAGCACCGCCAGCAUUUCCCAAGGCUGUGAAUGAAGGAACUUCCCUCCAGAAAGCUCAGUUAGUGUUCUAGCUGUUUGUAUUUCUGGAUGCUAUUAGAAUCAGCUCAAUUUUAAAAUAAAAAUGAGGGAAAAGCAAGAGUCUGUGUUUGUUUAUGUGACAUAAGUUCAAAUACACUUUAACCAUCUUGUACUCCUAUGUGCAGCUUGGCGCUAAUUUAUAUUCUGAAUGAAGUCUCCGAAGGCUUCCUCCUCCUUCCAGGUGAUUUCCCACUUUCCUGUGACUCCGAAUUACACCUGUCUGAAGCUCAGGGUGAACCCCGGUCUGUCCCAAGCUAGUGACAGGCUUAAGGUCUGAUAUCUGAUGCUUUGAGGAUUGAAAUGGGAGCUCCAUGUGAUGGGAAAGACCAGAUUCGUUGCCUCAAGCAGCAACUGGGCCCAAGGUUCAGAGUUUGAAACAGAAUUAUUCGGAAUAGCAAAACUGGCCCCCCAUUCAUUAAAGUUUCACAAUUGUAUUAGCUAUCCAUUCCCUCCUUCUGCAUUUUAAAUCAGGCCAGAUGCAUUUAUAUAAGCAGAGGCAUAGGAAAAAGUCCUUUCUCUAGACACUUUAAAAAAAUGCUAUGAAGCAGCUCUCAAGCAGCUCUUUUAUAAGGCGAGCGCAUCCGCAGAAUGAGUGAUGGUGAUGUGUGCUAUAAAGGCUUCCUGGGAAUCGGCUCGGCUCAGCAUUGCUGCUUGUGAGUAAUGUGGCCAUCCAGAACUCACACUGAUAAAAAUUUUGCCCUGUCCCAUCAUGUAUUCUGGCUGUUUCUUUCUCCCUCUCUCUCUUUGUGCAUGUGUGUAUAGCUGGGGAUGCAUUCAUAACCAAAUGAUCAAUACGAUGUUCAGGUAGAGGGAAACGGGAAGCGAUCAGUUAUCGGGGUAUCACUUUGACAUGUGGGACGAGCAUAUCGUGAGGAAUCAAUUAGCACCAGGAUUUUGGUCAUUCCUGAGCACUUUUUGUUCCAUUACCUCUUUUCCCCCCUUUUGGAUUUGAGCUGAAGGAAAAACGGAGUCCGUCUGACCUCAUUUCUGGAGACGUUCGACAACGAUGUUCUAAUGACAAGCUUUACACGUUCAAAUAUUUUCAGCUCUCUUUUCUUUUUUCCCGAAGAUCAAAGCUCAUCUAAUGACAGCCGUAAUGAGUCUCACACUGAGAUCUAGACGCAGGUUUUAAUAUACCGCCAAUUGGAAAGGCAAUCAGGCUUCCUGCUGCAGGAGAGGAGGAGGCAAAAAGAAAAAAAGAAAAGAAAAGAAGCAUCCUAACAACAGUCAGCAUUUCUGCUCUGCUGAAAUGUAUCUGUUGAAAUACUGGCCUUGUCACACCUGACUGGACUGUGCAGGGCUAUAAUAAGAGGACUCAUUUUCCCUUCUGAAAUCUUUAGAUACUUUUUACGAGGGGGGAAAAAUAAUGAGGCAAUUGUUAACACAUGUAUCUAUUAUAUUUAAGGAGGAUGGAGGAAAAAGUUUUGAAGCACCUGUCAGUUACUUGAUAUAUAUUCUGAGCAGCAACUUAAUUUAGGACCUAAUUCAUCGAGAGGUAUUCAGUGCGAUUCUCGGAUGUCUUACUAUGCACUUCAAAUCAACCGAUGUUCCUUUCGGUGAUGUAUCUUGCUGAUCAGAUGAAUUGUGUGUACUGCUCUCACGGCACGUGGUGGACAUCCAAUCUGAUCUCAAGCCAUUAGGAAGCGUUAUGAAGACGCUACUGCUGAGCACACUUAAGUGACUACAAGGCAGGUUAUGAGAUGGCAGUGCUAUGAAGUGAGGAUCCAUCCACUACUGCCCAGGUGGCACAGUGAUUCACUACCCAACCUCUGGACCCCUGAGAAGAGAUCCUGAUUCCCAGUUUACAGGUGAGCAUGAGUUUGGUAUCAACUGUUUAGGACAUCUCCAAAGAUAAGUGGAAACACCUGACUGGGUCAUGGCAGGCGUAUUCAUUCCUCACUGCUGUGAACAUUCAGUACCCCCACAGACCAGACCAACACAGUACUCUCAGACCAGACCAACAUUCAGUACUUUCAUAUGUCUCAGACAAACACGACUACCAAGUACACUCCUGAAACCUGGAAAAUGCUGAAUUUUAGCAGAUUUUGGAUUUUAAACUUCAUUGGAGAACAGCAAGGAAGCUUUUUUUACCUCCCUGCCUGCCAUCUGACACCUCCAGGGAAGGAAUUCUACCUGAUCAACACAUCAAAGCUCACCAAGACGCUCUCAUGGACCCAAAGGGACAGCCUUCCAUCUCCAAGUCCCUCUGUGCAAAAAUGAAGUUUAUUUCCUACCUCUGGGGACUUUUUACCAUCUCGUACCAUCUAUACUUUUCCCAGAGCC